rnacentral:other from 1 species
CGAAUCCUGAAGUGUUUGUGAAUGCCAUAUUAACAGUUUUGACCGAACAACAAUAAAAAGGGAGCUCAAUAUUUUGACUUGGCAAACAUGCCCCAUCAGAACGCCAAAAGUAUAGGGGACGUUUAAAAAGUCAGUGAGGGCACCCACCUGCGAGAUAGCGGGUUCAAAACGGUGUUAAUGACGCACUACGGCAUCUUCGGGAUUCGU